UACGUAGGGUGCAAGCGUUAAUCGGAAUUACUGGGCGUAAAGCGUGCGCAGGCGGUUUCGCAAGUCAGAUGUGAAAUCCCACGGCUCAACCGUGGAAGUGCAUUCGAAACUGCAGGGCUAGAGUCCUGGAGAGGAAGGUGGAAUGCUUGGUGUAGAGGUGAAAUUCGUAGAUAUCAAGCGGAACACCGGUGGCGAAGGCGGCCUUCUGGACAGUGACUGACGCUGAGACGCGAAAGCGUGGGGAGCAAACAGG
rnacentral:rRNA from 1 species